CUUCUUCUCGACCUCUAGAAGUAUUAACUUCAACUUCUCCUUGGCCUCUUGGAAGGGAAUCAUCAACUUUGUCUUCACCUGGGUACAUUUCUGCUUGGCCGCCUUCGCCUUCUUUUUAGCUUCUUCGACAUUGCUCUUGAGCUUCUUCAUACCUUCAUAGAAGAAGUAUAUGUUGUGCAGAUACUGCAAGGAAAAGAGUUGAAUAAGUUAGAUAAAAAUGGCAAAAAAACUUC
rnacentral:lncRNA from 1 species